AACAACCUUUACCCCCAAAACACGUGUUCCAUGUGGGAUUCAAACUUGCAUCACUACCUACGAUACCUCUUGUGGAUCAUCAACAAUUCCAAAAGUUCGAACUGAAAGAAAAAGCCAUCACACUUAGAGCGCGUUUGGUUCACACUAUGAAAGAUUAUUAGAAGUAAAAAGAUAUCUAAGAAUCUUAUUCCUAUUCAUUCUAUUACUAAGAAUGUAGUAUUUCGGUAUUUAGUUCGUACGGUGAUAUUAUUUAGUCAAGUUAUUUAAGAUUAUGAAAAAUAUAUAAUUAAUUAAUUUAAUUUUAAAUAAUUACUAUCAAAAAUUUUAACAUCUUUUUUAGAAAAAAGAAAGAGAAUAUAGUUAGAAAGAGAGAGCAUAAUUAAAUAAAUAGAAAGAGAAAUAGAGUCGAGGUUAGAGAGUAUGAAAGGGUUGAGAUUUUAGAAAAGGAGGAGGAGAAAUAACUUAAUUUAGAGAGAGAAAAAAAGUUGAAGUUUAGAGAGAAAAAGAUAAGUUUAGAAAAAGAUAUGAGGUUAGAGUGUAAAAAAAAAAUAAUACCAACUAGCCGGCGGGUGAAAAAAAAAAAGAUUAGACAUAUUAUAAUUACUCCAAUCCAUUAAUAUAAGGGUACGUUUGGUUCGAGUUAUCCUCGCAGGAUUACAGGCAAUCCUGCCAAAAUUACUGUG
rnacentral:lncRNA from 1 species